rnacentral:misc_RNA from 1 species
GUGAAUCAUCAAAUUUUUGAACGCAAAUUGCACUCUCUUCGGAGAGUAUGCCUGUUUGAGUGUCAGCCUAAAAAAAAAAUCGACAUAGUCGCUGUUUCGCGGUGACAUUCGUCGGAACUUGGGUCAUCUUAAACCUAUUGGUUUUAAGCGGCUUAAAAUUUUAUUUUCGCUUCCACGAAGGUUUCCAAGAUUUCCUUCUUGUACGUUUCAGGUAUCGAUCUUUAUUAGACGUCGCCGUUGCAUCGGA